rnacentral:rRNA from 1 species
AUUGAACGCUGGCGGCAGGCCUAACACAUGCAAGUCGAGCGGAUGAAGGGAGCUUGCUCCUGGAUUCAGCGGCGGACGGGUGAGUAAUGCCUAGGAAUCUGCCUGGUAGUGGGGGAUAACGUCCGGAAACGGGCGCUAAUACCGCAUACGUCCUGAGGGAGAAAGUGGGGGAUCUUCGGACCUCACGCUAUCAGAUGAGCCUAGGUCGGAUUAGCUAGUUGGUGGGGUAAAGGCCUACCAAGGCGACGAUCCGUAACUGGUCUGAGAGGAUGAUCAGUCACACUGGAACUGAGACACGGUCCAGACUCCUACGGGAGGCGGCAGUGGGGACUAUUGGACAAUGGGCGAAAGCCUGAUCCAGCCAUGCCGCGUGUGUGAAGAAGGUCUUCGGAUUGUAGAGCACUUUAAGUUGGGAGGAAGGGAAGUAAGUUAAUACCUUGCUGUUUUGACGGUACCAACAGAAUAAGCACCGGCUAACUUCGUG